rnacentral:rRNA from 1 species
GAGUUUGAUCAUGGCUCAGGACGAACGCUGGCGGCGYGCUUAACACAUGCAAGUCGAACGUGAAGCCCGGGCUUGCCCGGGUGGAAAGUGGCGAACGGGUGCGUAACACGUGAGCAACCUGCCCCGAAGACCGGGAUAACAGCGGGAAACCGCUGCUAAUACCGGAUGCCCUCAUCAUGUCSCAUGGCGAGAUGAGGAAAUGGAUUCCGCUUCGGGAUGGGCUCGCGGUCUAUCAGCUUGUUGGUGAGGUAACGGCUCMCCAAGGCUACSACGGAUAGCUGGUCUGAGAGGAUGUCCAGCCACACUGGGACUGAGACACGGCCCAGACUCCUACGGGAGGCAGCAGUGGGGAAUCUUGCACAAUGGGCGAAAGCCUGAUGCAGCGACGCCGCGGGCGGGAUGACGGCCUUCGGGUUGUAAACCGCUUUCAGCAGGGACGAUUAUGACGGUACCUGCAGAAGAAGCCCCGGCCAACUACGUGCCAGCCGCCGCGGUAAUUCA